AUCUGCAGGUUUUGCAUCUGUUGGUCUGGUGCUACUUUGAGUUGCUGUGUCCUUGUCUGUGGGAAGCCUGCUUCUGAUGAUGAGAUUGGGGGUUGUUUGAAGGCCAGAAGAGGGGGUUUGGGAAAGAUUUCUUUCGGGAUGGGGUCCCCACAGUAUG